rnacentral:rRNA from 1 species
CUGGCUCAGGAUGAACGCUAGCUACAGGCUUAACACAUGCAAGUCGAGGGGCAGCACGGGAGUUGCUUGCAACUUCUGGUGGCGACCGGCGAAUGGGUGAGUAACGCGUAUCCAACCUGCCCUGUGCCCGGGAAUAGCCCUUGGAAACGAGGAUUAACGCCCGAUGGCGUGCAUUGACCGCAUGGGAAGUGCACUAAAUGCGAAGGCACGGGAUGGGGAUGCGUUCCAUUAGGUUGUUGGCGGGGUAACGGCCCACCAAGCCCGCGAUGGAUAGGGGUUCUGAGAGGAAGGUCCCCCACAUUGGAACUGAGACACGGUCCAAACUCCUACGGGAGGCAGCAGUGAGGAAUAUUGGUCAAUGGGCGGAAGCCUGAACCAGCCAAGUAGCGUGAGGGAUGACGGCCCUACGGGUUGUAAACCUCUUUUAUGCGGGGAUAAAGUGCGCCACGCGUGGCGUUUUGCAGGUACCGCAUGAAUAAGGACCGGCUAAUUCCGUGCCAGCAGCUGC